rnacentral:rRNA from 1 species
GAUGAACGCUGGCGGCGUGCUUAACACAUGCAAGUCGAACGGAAAGGCCGAAGCUUGCUUCGGUACUCGAGUGGCGAACGGGUGAGUAACACGUGGGUGAUCUGCCCUGUACUUCGGGAUAAGCUUGGGAAACUGGGUCUAAUACCGGAUAUGACAAUCUCUUGGAUGGGGUUGUGGAAAGCUUUUGCGGUAUGGGAUGAGCUCGCGGCCUAUCAGCUUGUUGGUGGGGUAAUGGCCUACCAAGGCGUCGACGGGUAGCCGGCCUGAGAGGGUGUACGGCCACAUUGGGACUGAGAUACGGCCCAGACUCCUACGGGAGGCAGCAGGGGGGAAUAUUGCACAAUGGGCGCAAGCCUGAUGCAGCGACGCCGCGUGGGGGAUGACGGCCUUCGGGUUGUAAACUCCUUUCGCAACCGACGAAGCUUUUUGUGACGGUAGGUUGAGAAGAAGCACCGGCUAACUACGUG